UGGGGAAUAUUGCACAAUGGGCGCAAGCCUGAUGCAGCCAUGCCGCGUGUAUGAAGAAGGCCUUCGGGUUGUAAAGUACUUUCAGUCGGGAGGAAGGUGGUAAGGUUAAUAACCUUAUCAAUUGACGUUACCGACAGAAGAAGCACCGGCUAACUCCGUGCCAGCAGCCGCGGUAAUACGGAGGGUGCAAGCGUUAAUCGGAAUUACUGGGCGUAAAGCGCACGCAGGCGGUUGAUUGAGUCAGAUGUGAAAUCCCCGGGCUCAACCUGGGAACUGCAUCUGAUACUGGCAAGCUUGAGUCUCGUAGAGGGGGGUAGAAUUCCAGGUGUAGCGGUGAAAUGCGUAGAGAUCUGGAGGAAUACCGGUGGCGAAGGCGGCCCCCUGGACGAAGACUGACGCUCAGGUGCGAAAGCGUGGGGAGCAAACAGG
rnacentral:rRNA from 1 species